GAAUUUGAGGAGUUUGUUUUCAUUUUGAGUUUUCUUUGUAUUAUUUUUGCUUUUGAAAUUUUUUGAUGUACUUUUGGUGGCUCUAGUUCACCAAAACUUUGUUUUUUUAGUUGUUUUGAUAAUUGCAUGAAUACUUUUUGAGAUUUAAGUGUGUUACAAUCAAUUUGGUUUACCAACAUUUUUUGUUUAAUUGUUCUUACUCUUAAGUCAAGCUUAAAGCAACCAAGAAAUGUUCGCAAAGAAAGAAGCAUAGGACACUUCGAGU
rnacentral:lncRNA from 1 species